rnacentral:rRNA from 1 species
AGCGAACGCUGGCGGCAGGCUUAACACAUGCAAGUCGAGCGGGCAUCCUUGUGGUGUCAGCGGCAGACGGGUGAGUAACGCGUGGGAACGUGCCCUUCAGUUCGGAAUAACUCAGGGAAACUUUAGCUAAUACCGGAUACGUGCGAGAGCAGAAAGGUUUAUCUGCCGAAGGAUCGGCCCGCGUCUGAUUAGCUAGUUGGUGAGGUUAUGGCUCACCAAGGCGACGAUCAGUAGCUGGUCUGAGAGGAUGAUCAGCCACACUGGGACUGAGACACGGCCCAGACUCCUACGGGAGGCAGCAGUGGGGAAUAUUGGACAAUGGGGGCAACCCUGAUCCAGCCAUGCCGCGUGAGUGAUGACGGCCUUAGGGUUGUAAAGCUCUUUUCUCCGGGACGAUAAUGACGGUACCGGAGGAAUAAGCCCCGGCUAACUUCGUG